rnacentral:rRNA from 1 species
CUACGGGGUGCAGCAGUGAGGAAUAUUGCACAAUGGGGGAAACCUGAUGCAGCAACGCCGCGUGGAGGAUGACGCAUUUCGGUGUGUAAACUCCUUUUAUAUGUCAAGAAAAUGACGGUAGCAUAUGAAUAAGCACCGGCUAACUCCGUGCCAGCAGCCGCGGUAAUACGGAGGGUGCAAGCGUUACUCGGAAUCACUGGGCGUAAAGGACGCGUAGGCGGGUUGGAAAGUCAGGUGUGAAAUCCUACAGCUUAACUGUAGAACUGCACUUGAAACUUCUAAUCUAGAGUAUGGGAGGGGGAGAUGGAAUUAGUGGUGUAGGGGUAAAAUCCGUAGAUAUCACUAGGAAUACCUAAAGCGAAGGCGAUCUCCUGGAACAUUACUGACGCUAAGGCGUGAAAGCGUGGGGAGCAAACAGGAUUAGAUACCCCAGUAGUC